UUCAUACGGGGUUAGCUUCUGACCCGUGCUGUGUUGUGCUGUGCUGACAAAUGGAUGUUUCGGAAAUGUUGAAAUCUCUGCCCUGUCUCUGCUCCAAGCUGCAUUUACCACAACGGCAAAUGUUUGAUGGUGGUGCUGCUUUGCUUCCUUCUUCUGCUCUUGCUCCACUUGGCUGAUCAUCUCCUCGAGGGCUUGGUUGGAGGCUCUUUCAGAGGGAUGGGUCAACUGUGAGGCCCCCAGAGUACUAGGAAAGAUCCCAGAAUGUUCUGCAGUCCCAUGAAUGAUACCACGAGCUGCCUGCAAGUGUCUAUGCUGCCUCGUGUGCACUGGCAAAGAGAAAUCAUAAGCUCCUGCUCCUCCCUCUGCAAGGCAUGAACAGUCCUCAGUUCGUGGAUAAGCUCCAGAUGGUUCUCCUUGCCUUUAAACAUCUGUACAACAACACAGACAGAAGUGAAUACACAACUUGAAACACAUGCAAACAUUUCUGGAGGCAUUUUGAAGCAUAACAGAU